rnacentral:rRNA from 1 species
UACGUAGGGUGCAAGCGUUGUCCGGAAUUAUUGGGCGUAAAGAGCUCGUAGGCGGUCUGUCGCGUCGAAUGUGAAAACCCGGGGCUCAACCCCGGGCCUGCAUUCGAUACGGGCAGACUAGAGUUCGGUAGGGGAGACUGGAAUUCCUGGUGUAGCGGUGAAAUGCGCAGAUAUCAGGAGGAACACCGGUGGCGAAGGCGGGUCUCUGGGCCAUUACUGACGCUGAGGAGCGAAAGCGUGGGGAGCAAACAGG